rnacentral:misc_RNA from 1 species
UUAAGUUCAGCGGGUAAUCCUACCUGAUUUGAGGUCAAACUUUGUGAAUACUGUUUGCCAGGCUGUCUGUACUUUCAACUAAAGUCUUUAUAACGUCUACUAACGCCACUACGAGUUGGUAAAACCUAAUACGCAGAGUAUCAGCAAACUGGACUAGAGUCUCAGUCAGCAACAGCCAAAUGGCCAGCAUUUUCAAGUUA